AACGAACGCUGGCGGCAGGCUUAACACAUGCAAGUCGAGCGCAUCCUUCGGGGUGAGCGGCAGACGGGUGAGUAACGCGUGGGGAUGUGCCCAGAGGUGUGGAAUAACUGUGGGAAACUACAGCUAAUACCGCAUGAGCCCCGAGAGGGGGAAAGAUUUAUCGCCUUUGGAUCAACCCGCGUCAGAUUAGCUAGUUGGUGGGGUAACGGCCUACCAAGGCGACGAUCUGUAGCUGGUCUGAGAGGAUGACCAGCCACACUGGGACUGAGACACGGCCCAGACUCCUACGGGAGGCAGCAGUGGGGAAUAUUGGACAAUGGGCGCAAGCCUGAUCCAGCCAUGCCGCGUGAGUGAUGACGGCCUUAGGGUUGUAAAGCUCUUUUAACAGGGACGAUAAUGACGGUACCUGUAGAAUAAGCCCCGGCUAACUUCGUGC
rnacentral:rRNA from 1 species